ACUUUAAUAAUUUAAUAAAAAUAUUGGUCUUGUAAACCAAAUUUAAGUUUUUUUCAACUUUUAAAGUG
rnacentral:tRNA from 1 species